rnacentral:misc_RNA from 1 species
UUGUAGCUCAGUUGGUUAGAGCGCGCGCUUGAUAAGCGUGAGGUCGGAAGUUCAAGUCUUCCCAGGCCCACCACACUCAUCGGGUAAGCAUUCGUCUUCUGGUUACGGGGCCAUAGCUCAGCUGGGAGAGCGCGUGCUUUGCAAGCAUGAGGUCGUCGGUUCGAUCCCGUCUGGCUCCACCAGAUGGUUUGAUCACCGACGCUGUGUUUGCAGCUAUUCAACCGUCGUCCGCGAAACAUCACUUCGCACCUACUAGUCUGGAUAGACAGUAGGUUGCGUGAUUUCUGACAUCGUAAAGAGGAGAUCGAUCCGAGUUGGAUCGGGCAGCAAGCAAUUGCUGCGCGAACCUUCAUUAUCUCCGGAUCAUUUCGGCGCUCGCGCGCCUUUCAAUGCGGCUCACAAGGCUGCGUCUGAGGGGAAUGCGGGUUGUAAAUGAUCCUUUUAGCGAAGCUUGACCGCCUCGCUAUCGGAACGAUCUUACGAAGCAAGCUGGUCUUUCUAAUCAUUGUCCGGCUGUACGUAGCGUUCAUCGAGGGCGCGUGCCGCAAGGCAAUCGUACAGACAACAUUCUGCCGAGUGUGUGGACAUUGAUAAUGAGAGCAAUCAAGUGCCUUAAGGGUGUUCGGUGGAUGCCUUGGCGCUGAGAGGCGAUGAAGGACGUGCUACGCUGCGAUAAGCCGUGGGGAGCUGCGAAGAAGCUUUGAUCCAUGGAUUUCCGAAU